AUGUUGGUGACCUUCAGAUGGGGUUUCUGUGUGAAUGUCCUUUUUGUUGAUGUUGAAGCUAUUUCUGUUUGUUUUCCUUUUAACAGUCAGGCCACUCUGCUGCAGGUCUGCUGCAGUUUGCUGGAGGUCCACUGCAGAUCCUGUUUGCCUGAGUAUCAUCAGCAGAGUGUGCAGAACAGCAAAGAUUGCUGCCUGUUCCUUCUCUGUAAGCUUUGCCCCAGAGGGGCACCCGCCAGAUGCCAGCUGGAGCUCUCCUUUAUGAGGUGUCUUAUUGACCCCUGCUGGGAGGUAUCUCUCAGUCAGGAGACACAGGGAUCAGGGACCCACUUCAGGAGGCAGUCUGCUCUUAGCAGAGCCCAAGCACUGUGCUGGGAGAUCUGCUGCUCUCUUCAGAGUCAGCAGGCAGGAUGGUUUAAGUCUGCUAAAGUUGUGCCCACAGCUGCCCUUUGCCCCAGGUUGUGAAGACCAGGAGAAAACCAUAGUGUCUGGGCCAGAAUGCACCACUCCUCAUGGCACAGUUCCACAGCCAUUCCUCAUGGAUUCCCUUGGCCGGGGAGAGAGUUCCCUGACCCCUUGCACUUCCCAGGUAAGGUGAUGCCCCAUCCUGCUUCAGCUCACCCUCUGAGGGCUGUACCCAUUGUCUAACCAGUCCCAAUAAGAUGAGCCAGGUUGGAAAUGCCGAAAUCACCCACCUUCUGCAUCAAUCUCGCUAGUAGCUAUAGACCAGAGCUGUUCCUAUUCCGCCAUCUUGCAGAAUUAUUAUUAUUUUUGUAUUUGUAUUUGUAUUCUGUAUUAUUAUUUUUGAGACAGGUUCUUGCUCUGUCACCCAGGCUGGAGUACAGUGGCACCACCAUGGCUCACUGCAGACUACCUCCUGGGCUCAAGCAAUCCUCCCACCUCAGCCUCCUGAGUAUGUGGGACCACUGGCAUGUAGCACCAUGCCCUGCUAAUUUUUUCUAUUAAAUUUUUUUUUGUAGAGACAAGGUUUUGCCAUGUUGCCCAGGCUGGUCUUGAACUCCUGAGCAAGCAAUCCACCCACUACACCCUCCCAAAAUGCUGGGAUUACAGGAGUGACCCACUGUACCUGGUCAAUUUUUUUAAUAUUUAAAGAAGGUUCAAAAUUUGUGUAAGUGUCCACCUCACAUCACAAUACUAGUUCUGUCCUUGGCUGUGUCUUAGCUCGAGAAAUAUAAGUGCCUUUCAAGGAGAUCUUGGCAAUGGGGAAACUGGAGGAAUACAUACCCUGAUCUUUUUCAUCUGCCACCUUCUGACCUUCAAACCCAAAGAGAAGCCAGAGAUUAAGGGGGCCCAUAUAUUUCAGUCCAUAGAGUUCAGUCCCUCUGGACAUAAGCAGGGUGGUGAUGGGACAAGCAGAACAUAUGCAGCAUUGUGGAGAACCUCAGUGGUUGCCAUGAGGACCACAAUGGUUGCCAUGAGAACUGCAGUGGUUGCCAUAAUGGGUCUUCCACUAGAAUAACAUCCAGGGACACCCUAGCUGUGCCCAUCCCCACUCAUUCUUCUCCACUGGAAAUGGAAUGACAUGCAAUUACUGCCUCUGGGAGAAGGAAGUGAGCAUGGAAAGGUCAGCUGCUUCUAAACUCUCUUCUAUUGGUGCCAGCCUGCCUGCCUACCUGCAGAUAGGGCUUGUGUGUGCUCAGGCCAUAUGGCUUAUAGUUCUCCAGCUGUGCCAGCAAAUGGGAUUUUGUCUGCCAAUCUGGGGCCAAAAAAGAAGAAAGCCCACUUGAGAACCUGGUUUAGAUGGACUGAAAUAGGGUUCCUUCCAGCUCUACUUGGUGGUAGCAAUAAUGAUAGUAAUAACAAACACCAUUAUUUUUAUGAUCUAAUCUUGCCCCUACAUUCUACAGGUUAAAAAUUUAUUUUGCUUUUAAAAUUGCUUCAUUUAAAUAUUUAUUAUUGCUAUCUUU
ensembl:lncRNA